rnacentral:lncRNA from 1 species
UGCCUCCCCUGCCUCAUAGGUAGUUGCGGCCCUGAAAAGGUUUAAUACCACAAAAGGAAGGUUAGGAUUGAUUUUGGGGAACAUGGUCCCAACCGUUUUGGAAUAAGGGAGAUAAAACGAGUAUUUUUCUACUUUCAUAGAAUGGAAAUGGGGAAUGUGUCAAAGAGACGACAACUCGACCAUAUAGAAGACAACAACAGAAGGUCACCAACAGUUCUUCAAUGCAUCAAGAAAUUCCCGCACCCGGAGGCGUCCUUCAGCUGGCCCCUAAACAAAUAUAUAUAGUAGUUCAGUGAUGAUGAACGCCAUACUUAACUCCAAAUUGUACACAAGAAACUAAAAUUAAAAAUAAUACAAGACUGACUUGGGACAGGCGGGUUUAAACAUGUUUAUGAGAUCUCAAACCUCCCCCUAUACCUCUAGCCAAUGCAGAAAAGUAAAUGAUAACAAUACGUACAUUAAAAUUCAGUACAUCAACUUGGUGUAUAAGUAUUUCAAUUGCUCUGAAAUUGUACCACAAUGUUUAAUACCACAAGUAGGUUUGAAUUCAUUUUUGGGCUUAUGGUGCAAACAGUUUAGGUAUCAAGGGCCAACAACCAGCAUUUUUGUAGUUUCUGGACAAUAACUUGUGUUAGUGUAUGGAACUCUCUAACAUUGUACCACAAGGUUCCAUAUCACAAAAGGAAGGCUGGGAUUGAGUUUGGGGGUCAUUGCCCAAUUUAUUCGAGAAUUAAGCAUUUAUCUAGUUUCCAGACAAUAACUCGUGUUUAAGAAUAUGAAUCUCUCUGAAAUCGUACGACAAGGUUCCAUACUACAAAGGAAAGGUGGGGGUAUUACUCCAAGGGGGAGAGGGUAAUAAAAUUGGGGAAUCCAAUUUUUUUAAGUGGUUCAAUUUUUUUUCUUCAAAAUGUUUAAAAUUUUCAAGAAGAAUCUUUAUGAGCAAUAGAUUUGUAAGAUCUUGAAAUUUAUUUUGUGUCAGAAACCUAUACUAAGUAAAAUGUUUUAUCACAAUCCAAAUUCAGACAGAAUGAAGCUUGAAUAUUGUGUCCAAAUUUGCCACAACUGUUCAAGGUUCAACCUCUGCGGUCGUAUCAGGCUGUGCUCAGCAAAGCAUUUUUUUGGGUUUAUAUGACUGUAAAAAGAUAAUUGGUUAAGAAAAAAUUCGUAAGGGUUCCGCGGAACCCAGUGUCUCGCCUACUUUUGCUGUAAAUUGCACUCUAAACAAAAAUGAGGGAAAAAAUCAAUAAAAAUAUUUCUCUCCAUUCUAUCGUUUGAUUGUAAGAAGCUUCUGUCGAAGUUUGAUAAAAAAAAAAUCCAGGAUAGUUUAUGAAUCUUAUAAAUGUUUUCAAAACUUAACUGCAGACUAUGUUAUGUAAACUGGAAGAAAAACUAAGUCCAUUUAUAGAUAAAAUACAGAAUAGAUGGAUUUUUUUUAACAAAAUUUACUUCUGGAUACUAUCUUAUGAUCAGAAACAAGCUUCUGUCCCAAGUUUGGUACAAAUCCAGGAGUUAUGGAUAGUUUAAGAAAAUUUUUAAAAUUUUAAAAACUUUAACCAGAGUGAAUGUAAUGUUUCCUGGCAGAAGUCCAUUUAUAAGAAAACAACGGAAAAAAAUGAAAUUUUAUUUUUACAAAAUUUACUUCUGGAUACUAUCUUAUGAACAUUAACAAGCUUCUGUCCAUGUAUGGAAGAAAUUCAGGAUAGUUUAAGAAAGUUAUUAAAAUUUCAAAAACUUUAACCACAGAGUGAAUAUUUGUGGACGCCGCCGACAACGACGCCGACG